CAGCAGUGAGGAAGGCAGGUACGUUAAUAGCGUGCUUGUUUGACGUUAGCUGCAGAAGAAGCACCGGCUAACUCCGUGCCAGCAGCCGCGGUAAUACGGAGGGUGCGAGCGUUAAUCGGAAUUACUGGGCGUAAAGCGCAUGCAGGUGGUUUGUUAAGUCAGAUGUGAAAGACCCGGGGCGUCAACCUCGGAAAUUGCAUUUGAAACUGGCAGACUAGAGUACUGUAGAGGGGGGUAGGAAUUUCAGGUGUAGCGGUGAAAUGCGUAGAGAUCUGAAGGAAUACCGGUGGCGAAGGCGGCCCCCUGGACAGAUACUGACACUCAGAUGCGAAAGCGUGGGGAGCAAACAGGAUUAGAUACCCUGGUAG
rnacentral:rRNA from 1 species